UAUAUUUAUAUUUAAUAUAUAAUAUGAUUAAUAUCUGUAUAGAUGUUAAUAUAAAUAUAUUUAAAAUAUAUUAUUGUCCUAGGGUGACUUUAUGAUGCUUAUAUCCCCAGCUGAUUUGUUUAUCUUACAUAUUAAGUUCCGCACCCUUAAGACUGGCUCUGAGAGUGAAGAGGGGGGAAAGAAGGAGGGCGCAGUUUAUGUUGAGACAGAUCCCCUCACUCCUUGGCAUCUUGCUCCUGGACUGUGUCGUAUGCAGCUCGGACAGGCAGCGGGACAGAGCUCUACUUUGCUUUCAGUUACUUUUUAGCUAGCUGAGGCAGAGUAGCUUCCUGGACUCUUUUUUUUCCCCUUUUUCUUGGAUCUGUUCAAACCUACUCUGGACUGAAAACCCAGACAAACCCCUGGAGCUUAGGCCUGUGGCCCACCAGCUUUCCAGCGCUGGAGGGACUGAUAAAAAUCUGAGUGAGCUGGGCUACACCACUUGAAAAAGACUCUUUUCUGGAUUUGCUGUGUCAUCGAACAGCAAGAAGUUUUAUUGUUUGAUAUUAUUCAAUUUCUGUUAAAUAAACAGUUUUCCCCCGGUUUUCUUGGAAAAAAACCUUUUUCCCAAACCAGUCAGAAGAAGAGCCGCUUGAAUUUGUUUUCUGAAAAGACUCCAUUCAGAAGUUCUCUCCCAAAUUUACCCUAAACCAGGACAAAUAUAUAUUGUGUGUUAUACAUGUAUCAAUGUAGUAUACAAAUAUAAAUUUGAUAAAAAUAGACAUUAAAAAAAUGUUUAAUUACCAUUUCAGGUAAAGGGGCUAUUUGGUGUUUAUUUGGUUAGAGGUAUAGCUUUUCAAUAAAUAAUAUAGAAAUUAAAAUAUACAAAUCUAUAAUAAAUAUAGAAAGAUAGAGGUAUAAAAAAGAAAUAAAUAUAAGUAAUAUAAACAUAGAUACGUAGAUUAAUAUUCAAUAUGAAUAAGAUAUGUAUAGAUGUUGAUAUAAUAUAUUUUAAUAUACUAUGUAUUAUGCAUUAUAUGUGUUUAUCAACAUAGAAUAUAAAUAUGAUAAGAACAGAUAUUAAAAAAUAUUUAAGUACCGUUUAAGUUAAAAGGGAUUUUUGGCUUUUAUUUGGUUAGAGGCAGGGGUUGUAAAGUUUCGGUCGGGGAUUUUUUGGGGCAUUCUGUUUAUAGGAGUUUUUGGAAGGGUAUUCCACGCGUUGUUUUUUCGCCUCCCUUCUAUGCCCGUGUCCGAAGCGCGGCGCAGCCCCGGGCCGAGCUCUGGGGCAGUGCUGCCGCCACGUGGGCACAGCGCGGUACUGCAGCCGUGCCCCGAGCCGACCCGUCCAAACGUGGCAUUCGCUAAACGCCUCCGCGUGGUGGGAGACGAGUCUAGGAAGAAAUACCUUCAAUCCACCGGUGAGGCAGCCAGGACCCAGUACAAGGAGGACUGGACACAGAUGAAGGUGAAGAUGGGAACGGCACUAGGUGGUCCAUAGCUUGAGGUUCAUCUCAGAAGGAGAGACUUCAUUUGGGGUCACAGAGAAGACAUGCCUUCCCUGCAAGGAGCAGGAAAGAUAAUCCACAGCCUCUGGGGGAGGCUUAAACUUGAUGAUUGAAUUGCUCAAGAAACUGCUGUCUGAGAUGGUCAAGUUCGAGGCCUCUCUGGAGGAGCUGGAACUUUAUAAGGACGGCGGCUUGCUGUGAUUGACCAGUGGAUUUAUGCACUUGCAAGGUAUUUUAUAGGGACCUUGGUUUUAACAUUUUCCUUCCGAAUCAACAAGGAAAGAGAGCUGUUGGGAUUUGAUCCAAAAAACAACUUACAACCGAUUUUGUGGUGAAACAGAGAAAAACCGUGAGCAGCCAACUCACUGGAAACCUGUAUCUUAAACACAAAGAAACACAAAGGCUUCAAUUUACCAAAAUAUGGAUAUGAUCUAGUAACAAUAUCCAACUGAGCCGGACAAAGACUCUUUAACCAUUUUAGGGUUAAAAAGUGUAUAUUUAUUAACAGCUCUGGGCCAGUGCUGGUUCUCCCCUUAAUACAGGUGAAUACAGGCUUUUUAUUUACAGAAAUAUUGAAUACAAAGGCAUAUUCAUAACUCAGUUGC